GAUAAAUGCUAGGGAAUGAGCAUAUACUAGAUGUCGAUCUUCUAAAAUUAAAUCUGUCUACAAAAGGUCUUAGAUUGUCCUGUUUUCUGGUGUACCUGUACCAAGGCAAUUUCAGUAGUUCACUCGUGCCAACUAUUUAUUUGGCAACCUGCAGAAAAGCAACCUAAAAUGAAACUGAACUACGAAACAUGUUGGAACUGUUGAUAAGAGAAGUAUUGUAAGUUGAAACAUAAACUAUUUUUAGGGAGUGAUGUUUGUAGUUUAUAUUCUAGAUAGACAUUAGAGCAAAUUAACCGAGUAGAUGGUCAAGCUUGUGAGUCUUGAGGGAAGGUUCUCUGUUGUCCGAGUACAUGUAAUUCGAUCAUGUACAUAGUUUUCAGAGAAACAAGCUGUUAGGAGUUUAGAGUCUUGAGCGAAGGUUCUCUGGUGACCGAGUACAUGUACCAUGUACAUGUACAAUGUAUUCAGAGAAACGAGAUGUUAGGAGUUCAGUGUCUUGAGGGACGGUUCUUUGGUGACUGAGUACAUGUACAACGUUUUCAGAGAAACGAAAUGCUAGCAGUUCAGAGAAAUGAAAUAUCAAGAAACAACUCCACUAACAUAUACGUACAUGAUCAUCCGAUGGAACAUGCCUUUGCAUGCUGAGGGCUGGAGCAAACUUGAGUGAAGCGUGUUUACAGCUACUUACAGGUUGUAGGAGUCUACUUGUGCUUGUAGAUUCUGUGAAGCAACAGAAUGUAUAUUUAAAUUUGAUACAUCAUCCUUUCUUUCUCUGUUCUUAUACUAUCAGUUUGUCAUUUAGAUUUUUACACAUAAAUUUUCAUUUUUUUAUUAGGUCAUAUUUAGUCCAUAUGAAGCAAGUACUUUUUGUAUCACACAAAGGAACUGUUGUAUUCUCCAACUUUUGCAGCAGAGUUUGUUAGUAUUUUGCUACAUUUUUCUUGUGAGUAAAUAAGGGUUCUCCCCUCUUUGGGUUACUCCGCAUGAUCUUUACUUAAACUGAAACCGUGAGUGUGUUCUAUGUAAUUUUCACUAACAAAAUAUAUUAGCUGUCACAUACAAAAGACAAUGCAUUUCAAUUUUGAGUUUGGUUGCCACGACAAUCUUGCUUUGACCAGGUGCACAUGCACUUCCAUUUUAACACAUGAGACAUUUUCUUCUACUCCGUAUUAUAAUAGGUGUGCUUUGCCUCUCUUACCUAUUCAAUUCUCAAUGCUACAUACUGAUAUGCAGUAUUAUCAGUAAAUACCUUUGUAAGAAAAAUUAGAUCAUGCUUUUUCUACAUUAAAUUAGCCGCACACAAAAAAUUGCUGAAAUAGCAAGUAAUUGUGUCAGGAUUAAAUUUGCUUUACCAUGAACCUUUUUAUUUUUUUUGCAGUGUCAUCAGUUGUGUUGGACCACAUAAUAUUUUUAGAUGUAUAAAUAAUUAAUUCCUUAACCAAAAAAAAUUCUACUGCAGAUGGAUAUAUUUUCCGCUCUUUGCAGUACACAGUACCACACAUGUCUUUUCAAGAAGCAAUUUUUCUCGAAAACUCCAAUGGCAGAAAAAAUGCAAGCUGGAACAGGCUGAUGCUAUGAGCAUUAGAUGUUUUAGCUACGAUGCACCAGGUAAAAAAUAGAAUGUGCUUUUGCACUGAUUGGAGGUGUCUCGAGAAAAUAGAGAAAUUAUAUUUGUUUUGUAGACCCUUUCUUUGGGUGAAAGUUUUGAUGAAAACAAAGAAAUUGUAUCCCUUUUAUCCGUAUACAAUGACAGUGAAAGGUACAUAAUAGAAGCAUUGCAUUUCUAUGCCGCAGAUGGGGCUGGUAAUUUGUCGCUCAUAUGGUCAUAUUCUUAAUAUCGAAGAUAGUUUCAUGUU